rnacentral:lncRNA from 1 species
GUUGCAAACUCCAUUAGAAAUUUGAAUUGAGAUCAGUUUUGGAAAAAGGGAAAGGGGGAUGUGAAAAAAAAUGGGGGUGGGGGAUUAAAUUAUUCUCAUUUCAGAUUUCAUAAAUAGAAAGAAAAUUUCUUCAAACAUUUUUUUGAGAGGAUUAAUAUUCAACAGCAUAGUGAAUUGCUCAAAGGCAAAAAAAUAUUUUAAGUUCAUUAGACCACAUUCAUUCUGAGUCAGAAACCUAUG